ACGUAGGGUGCAAGCGUUAAUCGGAAUUACUGGGCGUAAAGCGUGCGCAGGCGGUUCGUUGUGUCGGCGGUGAAAGCCCCGGGCUUAACCUGGGAAUUGCGCUUGAAACUAGCGGGCUUGAGUGCGGCAGAGGGGGGUGGAAUUCCACGUGUAGCAGUGAAAUGCGUAGAGAUGUGGAGGAACACCGAUGGCGGAGGCAGCCCCCUGGGUCGACACUGACGCUCAUGCACGAAAGCGUGGGGAGCAAACAGGA
rnacentral:rRNA from 1 species